UACAGAGGUCUCAAGCGUUGUUCGGAUUCAUUGGGCGUAAAGGGUGUGUAGGUGGCGCCGUAAGUCGGGUGUGAAAUUUCGGAGCUUAACUCCGAAACUGCAUUCGAUACUGCGGUGCUUGAGGACUGGAGAGGAGACUGGAAUUCCUGGUGUAGCGGUGAAAUGCGCAGAUAUCAGGAGGAACACCGGUGGCGAAGGCGGGUCUCUGGGCCGUAACUGACGCUGAGGAGCGAAAGCAUGGGGAGCGAACAGG
rnacentral:rRNA from 1 species